rnacentral:rRNA from 1 species
UACGAAUACCGAAGAAUGUUAUCACGGGAGACACACGGCGGGUGCUAACGUCCGUCGUGAAGAGGGAAACAACCCAGACCGCCAGCUAAGGUCCCAAAGUCAUGGUUAAGUGGGAAACGAUGUGGGAAGGCACAGACAGCCAGGAUGUUGGCUUAGAAGCAGCCAUCAUUUAAAGAAAGCGUAAUAGCUCACUGGUCGAGUCGGCCUGCGCGGAAGAUGUAACGGGGCUAAACCAUGCACCGAAGCUGCGGCAGCGACACUAUGUGUUGUUGGGUAGGGGAGCGUUCUGUAAGCCUGCGAAGGUGUGCUGUGAGGCAUGCUGGAGGUAUCAGAAGUGCGAAUGCUGACAUAAGUAACGAUAAAGCGGGUGAAAAGCCCGCUCGCCGGAAGACCAAGGGUUCCUGUCCAACGUUAAUCGGGGCAGGGUGAGUCGACCCCUAAGGCGAGGCCGAAAGGCGUAGUCGAUGGGAAACAGGUUAAUAUUCCUGUACUUGGUGUUACUGCGAAGGGGGGACGGAGAAGGCUAUGUUAGCCGGGCGACGGUUGUC